UUUAUACUUUUGAUUAUCUGGUCAUCAACACAAGAAUACAACGAUAAUCUAUUUCAAAAAAUAGAUUAAUUAAAUUAAAAUGGUAUAAUUCUUACAGGUGAAUAUGUUUGCAAUGAAAGAUGCUUAUAAGUUCAAUGCUGUCACAUAUUUAUUAUGCAUAAGAAUAAAUUACAUUGAAAAGUAUUUCAUUAAAAAAUAUAACUAUGAUUUAAAUACCAAGUAAGUUUUUAAAAUAGUUCUAAAACUGGUACUUGAAUCGAACUUUCUAUUUUCACUGUCCAAUUUAUUUACUUUGCGACACGGUAGCAGCUACCGUUUUCGCAAUCAGCCAGCUGAACUGCUUUUGGUAUUAUCAAGGAACGAACGGUAACCCACAUACACUUACGUGACCGCCAGUUAUCUUUCGAUGACUCGACCAUGUUUCAUUGCUUAAUCCCUUUUAUGGAAGUUUCUCCUCGUACGAAGGUUGAGUCGUUUAAUUAUUUUACCAAGUCUAGAGAACGUAUGCCGCGUGCUUUUUCAAUUUUAUUUACUAAAAUUUUUUUCACAUCUCCUAAUGAGUUGAAAAUACUUUAUUAAUACAUUAUUCAUGAAAAAGAUUUCAAACUUUCAAGAUUAAUAAAAAAAUUAAUUAUGGAUAAUAAAAUUUAUAUAGUUUUGAACAAGUAUUCCAUUUUCUCUUAUGUGUAAGGCAAAAAAGAGAAAUUCAUAGAUAAUAGUUAAAAUAAAUUUAAAUGAAAGAUCGAUAAAUUUUUAAUUUAUUCCUCGAAGAUGCUCAAAGCCUAUAUAUUUGAUAAAGAUCGUUUGCCAGAGAAAUGGGAAACGAUAAAUAAUGAAAUAUCUGAUCUGUGUAAUAUUUAUUUUAUUAGAAAAUGCUUCGAUUCGAGAAUCAAUAUAUAAGUGGAUAUUCAAUGAUAAUCGAUGAAGCUAUCAGCAGGUACUCGAUAUUCAUCGUGGAGCGUGUUCAUGACACGAAAAGUGGGCGGCAAUUAUAUUUCACUGACGAAAUUGCGUGUAGCUUAUGAUGAUUCGCUAUUUAAAGCGGUGAUAUUUUUGCAGCGCUGUUUCAAGGAGCGGUCAACUACUAUAUUCAAUAUUGAUGGUUUUCUAUUUUUGCAGUUCGAAUUGUUGGUGUAUUCAAGUAUGUGUUUGCUCGUCACGUUUCCGAUAGGGUGACUGAACUUUUUAAAACUUUCUUUCCAAGAAUUUGUCAAUUGACGAUCGAUCAGAAAAAGGAUUUCUAAUUUGAAAGUUUGUUAAUUGAAGAAAUUUGUUAAUUGAUCCUUGAUCAAAGAAAAGAUAAGAAGAGAUAAUUCUUUUCUUAAAAAUUAUGAAACAGAAGAUUUUAUUUUUAAAGGAAUUAAAUAUUGAUAAGUAUUGAAAAUUAAUUUAAUUUUUUCCUGAAUAUUAUAAGAUUUAUACAACUAUCGUUAAAUAUAUUUUUUUAAAUUUAAAAAUUAUGCGUUUAACGCGAUUAUUAUUAUUGAAAUGAAUGAAUUAAUUUAUUUUCAAUUUCAAAGUUAGAAAUUUUGAAAAUUUGAACGAUAAGAGAAUUAUUAAUUAUUUUUUAUGUUCCUUAUGUUUUAAAUAUCAUAUUGUAAUUAAUAUACAGUAUCACUUCGUAAUUUAAAAAUUUUUAAGAAUCAUUGUUCUUUUCUCUCUUAAAAAGCAAACGUAAGUUUUGUCAUAUAGAACUCAAGAUAUCCUGAAGAAUGCUCUGAUCUGAAAAUAUAGAAAUAUCUUUCGUAAAACGAUGUUGAACUCACAACAAACUCGUGGUCUCGUGCGAAAAUCUCUUUUAAUAAUAGAAUUUUGGAGAAUAGAAUCGACACGAGGUCGCUUUUAUCUUGGCAUACCUAUUUGUGCCACGUGCCAUCUCGUUUUUGAACAUUUUAUAUUUUGAUCUCUCACUUUAUAUAUACUUGUAAAAUAGAGAUUAAUUAAUAUAAUAUAAAUAAAUAAAAUAAUAUUAAUCCACCUAUUCUCAUAUCUCAAUAUUAUAAUCUCAAUAGUUCAUUCAAUUAUUUUUCAAAAUUUCUUAUAAUAGUAUAAAAGAAUACUUUGAUAAUUAUUGAAUAAAAUUUUUUGUAUCAGCAAAAUUAACAUUUGUAAUAUUUUUCUAUAUAUAGAAUCUUGGACAACGAUUGGGCAGUGUUAAGUAAAAUUCAUUUUCUUAUUCAUUACUAGAUAAAAAGUGUUGAAAUUCAUACAAUUUAUCGAUUGGAACCACGUUGAGCUUCGUAAAAAUUUGUAAAUUUUCACGAUCGAUCAUUUUCACGAGAUUAUUUUCACGAAAAUUGCCAUCAUACCACCAACCGUGAACCCGGUUCGAUUCUCGACUAAUUUUAACAUUGAAUCAGACGAGUGACGUCAUUGUUAUCACGACUGGGAUCGUAAUUCAGCUGGUCGACUUUCUCGGAAAACGCGUCGAUCGUUUCCACGAUGAGAAGUUUGGAUGAUAAACGAAAUUCCAACGAUGAACCAACCAAGAAAAAUGAUAAACAAUAAAGAUUCAAAUGAUUCGAUGAAUAUAUGGUUCCAGUUUUUACAACUUACUGGUAACUUAAGGAAUUAAUGAUAAGAAUGUGAUAAGAGUAAGAAAAUGAAUAUGCGUCUUGCAAGAAUGAUUUCAAAUAUGUUAUUCAAAUAUUGCUUAAAUUUUGUAAAUUUAAAUAUUUUGGAAAUUUUUAAAACGCUUACAAAACGAACAAACAAAAUAUAUAAUUCAUUUCAACAGCUUAUGCAUUGUGCGAAUCAUCUGAACUAUAAAACCAUUCGCACAAAGACGGUUACAGAAAUUAAAAAGACAAUGUAUAAACACAAAAAUCAAUCCUCCAAAAGUGGUUCCACAUUAUACAUCGAUAUCCUGUAUCCUGUAUGAUUGAUCGUGAAAAAUUACAUUACAAAAAAAAAAUUUAAAACACAAUGCAAAGUAAUACUACGCGAAAAAAUAAUAAUAUUAUCCUGUGAUUCUCAAGGAUGUAAAUCGAGUUGGAUCCUGCAAAAGAGGUAACUUUCUAGGGAAAACUCGGGUGAGGGCGAGUGGUGGCGCGCUUGUCGCGAUCCUCGGAACCCAGCCAACAACAGGCCGUGGCUUGUACAAGUGUAUUUAGGUAGAUACGCGAGGUGGUGUUAAAUUUAGCGCGAACCGACCUGCGCGUUACCGCGCCGCACAAAAUGCUUCCGAUUAUUUUAUUUUUAGGGUUAUGGCGCGUCGCGGCUCCACUGUGGAAAACCAGAGACACCUGACGGUGUGUCCGAUGUUGAACCAUCCGCGAAUUAAUUUGCCAAAUCUUUUUUUUUUUUUUCCUUGCUUUCUUCGUAAAGAAAAAGAUACGUACAUAUAUAAUUGGUAAUCCUUGGAAUUAUUCGGUUAGAUUGAAUAUUCAAUCUUCUAGGGAUAUUUUUAUAUGGAUACUGAUCUUUGAUGCAUUUUAUAUUCAUAGGUUAAUAAAAUUUAAGAAGAAGAUGGAAUAUUAAAAAAAAGUUGAAUGAUGAGUCGUUUAAGCAAAUUUAAUAACAAACGUGAGAAUAUAGUAAUAUGAAUUAUAAUGAAUUAAAGAUAAAAUAAAGCUGAGAACGAUUUUCAAAAUAAGAUAUAUAUCUAUAAGAUUCAAUUUCUAAGAAAUUUUAUAUGCGACAAUUUUAUAUGCUUUAUAUUAAUAAGAAUACAAUCACGAGGAAGAUUAAGAAAGAGACGAAGAAAGAAGCUGGAACAACUUGUUGAAUAAAGAUAGUCGCACUUUCACUGGAGGAAACAUAAUCUAAAUAGGAUCUGCCUUUGACAGGCAGAGAAAAAGAGACUCGAGAUGAUUAUCCUGAAAGGAGAAAGCGAUGAUCCCGUAAAAAGGAUUUACACGGUUCAAAGAGCUGACUUCAUCAACAUUGGUCAAUGAGGCGGUUAAACAAAGUCUUAUAGACGUUCUGAUCUAAAAUUAUAGGGGUAAUAAUCCAUUUCAAAAUAUAAAAUUCUCGAGAUUUGCACUCGAACGUUACUUUUCAUUAAUGGACACAUGUUGGAGGAGCAAAAUUAUUUUGAACAAUCAUUAUUAGCAUUGUGCUUCAUUCCAAAAAAUACUUUUGUCAACAUAUCUUAUACAAAUACAUUUACACAGUGCAUAUGCGAAAAA